CCUAGACUGUGAGCAGCUGCCACUCUCCCUCCUCUGCUCUUCCCGUCUCCAGCCUGCGCCGCCUCUCUGAUUCCUCUUUCGGUCCUCGCCGCCGCCGCCACUCAUCCUUCACCUCUUCACCCUCGCCGCUUCUCCACAACGCUAGCCCCUCCACCUGUCCUUCCUUCCCUUCGUUGUCUGGUGGCCAUGGGAUGCGCCUGGAUCCAGAUCGGGCGUAGUAGGUGAGCUGAUGGUUGGGUGAAGGAGUAGGGGAGGCGGGCGAUGAGGACAGGAAGAAGCCGGCCGUCCUGGUACAAUGGGGCAGCCGGGAAGGAGGAGGAGGUCGGCUGCGUCCCCGGGGUUGUCGGUGCAGCUGCUCCUCAACGAGAUUCGGCCAUGGAGAGGACCGUGGUGGCAGCACAGCCUCGCCCCCUCUGCCGCUAGCCCGACCUUUCUCUUCUCGCGUCCCUUUCUAUGUCAUCGGCUCGCGCUGCUGCUUUGGUAGGCAUCCUCCUCAUCCUCGGUGCUCAACAGAUUUUAUUUUCGUAUGCAUACAAGGUGUUCGACGAAAAUCCUAGAAGGCCGGCAGGGGACGAGUGAUCUAUGAGAGGAGGACAGCCACAGCAGCAAGCGGCGUGCUGUCCCAGCCAGCUGUCGUACAUAGCCGAGUCGAUUUUGCGUUGCCUUACCUCCUGUUGUUUGGUUUUCCGCUUUUGCUCACUUCUCCUUCCAAUGUUGGUGCAGGAUCGUUCGUUGUUCGGCUGGCUGCUCAGGUUUGCCAACGACGUCAGUUUGUUAUUUUCUCCUGAAGGUUCUUUGUUGAUUCGUUGGACGUGUGUGAUGCUGACCAACAAGGUUAGGAUUCCUCUGGUUGUCUUUCUUGAUAAGGUCUGUACACAUUCAUAAACUCGUGUGUUUGUGCGGUCAGGUUGGCUGUCUAUAUGUUUUGGGGUCCGCCUGCUCGCUGUAUUGACAACCAUAGAAAAAUAUAGCAAGAGUAAAAUUAGGCUUGUUGUUUGAGAUGAUUCCUUUCCACGAUAAAUAAAUUGGAGUGGUUUCAAACUCUUAAGCCCUUGAUCGGACAGAGAAACACGGGUUGAACUGAACUCUAUAUAUAUAGUGUUAUCUAUUCUUGUGGUGCUUUUAACUUUGAUCUUGCAACUGAACCUGCAAACUACUUAUUUUUGUGGAUUGGUAAACCUGAAUGUCGGAAACUAAAUGGGUGGCCCUGGGUUCAGUGGCGUUCAAGUACGACAAGACCAUAUUAUGACAGGAGCAUAAAGGCAUAAACACGAAAGCAUGAAACUAAAUGUGUUCCCUGGGUGGUCUUAUACAUUGAGACUAGAUACAAAAGGUUCCGCAAAGAGGGACUCAAGUCUACAACCACCAAAGAGAUAAGGCCAUGAACAAUAGUAUGUGGCCGUGCUAUGCAAAUUUUCUCUCAUCGAGGCCUAGCAGGCGAUAACGGCGCCAUGAGGAUUCGCUGCCGUGAGGAGGACCCCGACCCGUAUGAUGUCCACCGGAAGGUCACACACUUCCUUGGCUCGCUCAGACUGGCUCCAUUGAUGGCUUCUCGAAGGUAUCUUCUUGUGCAGCUUCACACUUGCUUGUGUGUCUUGCAAAAAAGUAAGCUACCUGGUACCUCUUUAGUCUGCUUUAGCAGGCGUUUGCAGAGGAAGCCAAGGGAUACAUGAUAUUGGUAAUUUACUAAUGAUCCAUAUUGUUGGAAUAAUUUUGUUGCAAAUAUUUUUGUUGGUUGUCCUUUUAUUUUAUUUAUAAUCUUGCCUCGAUCAUGUCUUCCAUUGUGCUUCUUCACUGAAAAGGUGGUCUGCAUAUGUGCACUUGCUGAGAAUGGAAUAAUCUCAUGAAUUCUAUUGAAAACAUAAGUUACUUAUUUUAGUAUGCUUAAUGUUUGGUUUUAGUAAUUAUGUCUGCUUUAGCAGCCAGGAGCAUCCCCUCCCAUUUUUGACUUUGAACCAUGUGCCCUGUUUAAACCAGCGUAGUUCGAUGACCUUAUGCAAUUAUUUGGUACAAAGAAUGUGCUGAUAAAGUAUUUUUAUUUUUGCUUUAUUGUGUUUAGUUCUGAGGUAUUGAUACUCCUGUCAAUCUGCUCUAAUCUGGUUCACCAAUAUCCUGAA